rnacentral:rRNA from 1 species
AACGCGAAGAACCUUACCAGCCCUUGACAUGUCCGGGACCGGUCGCAGAGAUGUGACCUUCUCUUCGGAGCCCGGAACACAGGUGCUGCAUGGCUGUCGUCAGCUCGUGUCGUGAGAUGUUGGGUUAAGUCCCGCAACGAGCGCAACCCCCGUCCUUAGUUGCUACCAUUUAGUUGAGCACUCUAAGGAGACUGCCGGUGAUAAGCCGCGAGGAAGGUGGGGAUGACGUCAAGUCCUCAUGGCCCUUACGGGCUGGGCUACACACGUGCUACAAUGGCGGUGACAAUGGGAUGCUAAGGGGCGACCCUUCGCAAAUCUCAAAAAGCCGUCUCAGUUCGGAUUGGGCUCUGCAACUCGACCCCAUGAAGUCGGAGUUGCUAGUAAUCGCAGAUCAGCAUUGCUGCGGUGAAUACGUUCCCGGGCCUUGUACACACCGAUAGC